rnacentral:tRNA from 1 species
GGUCCAGUAGCUCAGCUGGAUAGAGCACCUGCCUUCUAAGCAGGCGGUCACAGGUUCGAAUCCUGUCUGGAUCA